rnacentral:tRNA from 1 species
GGUCAGGUAGCUCAGUUGGCAGAGCGUCCGGCUGAAAACCGGAAGGUCGGCAGUUCGAUUCUGCCCCUGACCACCA